AUUGCGACGACGUUCAUUUGCUUCCAACAAUAACACAAAGCACUGCGCAUGCUCCAGCUCACAGUGAAGUCCGGCUGAUUGAUGUCAGUGCGCGACCAAUAGGAGCACAGGUGUGCCGUGCAUGACCGGACGGAUGUCGCCCAAUCGGAAUGAAGGGAGGGCGGGAUCAGUGAAAACCACGUGAUCAUCCACGAGUGCGGUGCAGAGUCGCUGAGAUAACCGGAACUGCAGAUGCUGGAGAAUCCGAGAUAACACGGUGUGCAGCUGGAUGUACACAGCAGGAAAGCUGACGUUUCGGGCCUAGAUCCUUCGCUGAGACCAAGAUUUGUGCAAUUGAGAUACCAGCGAUCGUUGCCAAAGCCCUGUUACCUGUGGAGAAGGUGAUGUUUAACUUUCGUGUGCUACUGCAGUUUGUAUGAUAAAGGUGCUCUCACAAUGCUCCAUUUGAGAAGUUACAGAUCAUUCAUCUAGCGAUACUGAAGAGCUACUGAAGAGCUAAUGGUGUUGUCGUGGCCAGAGACAGUGUUUGGAUUGGCAGUUGUUGUGGUGGAGGAGACUUUGGUGAAAUAACAACCUCUCAUUUGGCUCUCAGGAAAAUGGUUACAUACAUCAUCACAUGUGGAUAACACGGCAGAAUCAUUGAGCCUGUGCAGAGAAAGUAUCAACUUUCUCCUCUGUCUCUAUCAUUGUGAGAGGAAUUGGAGAUGGGCAUUGAGUCCAAUAGCAGGCAAUGUCACCCAAACCAGGUAUUGUUGUUACAUUAAAAGUGUCAGAGUGGAAGGGGUUAACUGGAGCUGUUUGUUCAGUGACUCGAAUUAAUGUCAGUCUCCAUGGAUACUAACUGUGUCACUGGAGGGUUUCCCUCUUCUGUUAAUAAGGGGUUUCUCCCAAUGCGUUAUCCCACAGUAUCUGUGGCUGUGGCAUAUUCAACACAAUUGGGAUCAGCAGCUCCAGAGAUGUGGAGAGAUCAGAAUCUGUGACCAGCAGAUUGGGAUGUUCCAAAUGAUGGAUCAGAAUCUCAGAACCACAGCCGGGAAUGUGACAACAAUGUAUAAGAAACUGAGAGGAAUAGAUUGGAAUGUUCCAACAAUGGACAGGAGUUUAUCCUCUGGCCUUUACUAUCUUUCUAUCAAUUGGUUACCAUUAACAUUGUGGAUAGAAGCUGUCCUGAUGGUUAUUCAGGCGGGUUACUAUCCCAUCCUCGCUAUUGUCGGUGUUCCCGGUAAGUCUCUCUAUCUCUGUCCAUUCAUUUAUUCUGUGACCAGCGACUCAAUUUCUAAGCUCUGUAUUUGGCAACGAAGGAAACUAUUGUAUUCACUUUCAGUGACAAACUCAACUCUUAUUCCAGGGUUUUUUUCACCUUCACUUACAAACACCCGAGGAGGAAGAAAAGUGUUCAUAACCACCAUUGGCCCAUUUUGUCCUGAUCUGAUUUAUAUCACAAUAUUCCCUUUAUCACUAAUAAUAUCCUCAGUUUUCACUUCCGCUUCAGUGCUGUUUCUGAUUAAAUCAUAAUCUGCUCCUUUCCAGUUGCAGCUCUCUUCUGGCCACACUUGCAGUUACUAAUAUUUUGAUUGUAUUCUUAUUUUUAUCUCUACCUCGACCUAUGCCAGUUGCAAAGUGUGGAGCCAGUUUGAUUCUAAAAUGAGGAGGUUACAGCUUUGUGUCAGUGGUUUCAGCAUAACCCGUCGAUGGCCAUCAAAUGACAGUUCAUUGAACUGUUUAGAUUCUAGAACUUUCCAAGUAGCAGUGGUGCCAUGUCCAUUAUCUCUGAAGUGCAGUGCUCCGAUGUGUUCACUUGUUGAAGGAGGCAGUGUCUCUUCACCCCAACCCCCACUGACCCACUGCUGAGUGGGAUACAUUACUCUGUCUCCACAGAAUAAGAUAUAGGAAAUCUUCCAGAAAUUCUACAGGACUGUGACUGUGAAAAUGAGAAACUGUGGGAGAUUAGAAUUAAUAAAGCGGAACUGCUCAAAACUAAUUGAACUGAAGUUUGGUACUUUGCUCUGGUAUGUCCCAGAGAUUACAUGGAGGUGGGAAUAGAGCUUGUGAAAGAGUUACAGGGUCAGACAGCUCUUCAGUCCAACCAGUCCAUGUCAAACAUAAUCCCAAACUAUCCCAGUCCCACCUGCCUGGGCUUGGCCCAUAUCUCUCCAACUGUUUCCUGUUCAUGAACUUGUCCAAAUGUCAUUUAAAACUUGUAACUACGAGAAAGAAUUAUUGAUUACCAUUCAGAAUUCUUCAGAUUCAGGAAUUGCCAGUUCCUGCAGAAUGGAAGUAGCUGUUGUAACGCACAUUAAAAAAAAACUGGAGUGAGAGGGAAAUCAAAAUAAAAAUAAAUUUUGGACAACUUGAUAUCUGUUAUGAGAAAAAUAUGGAACCUUUUUUGAGGGCUGUAAAAACUAGACACUUGGGAAAUCAUGAUAUGACUUGGCAGAGUCAACUUCGAUUCAGGAAAGGGAAGUUAUCUUUGGUAAACCUGUGCAGUUUAUGUUAAUUGAAACAUCCAAAAAUUUCAGAUGUGUGUCCAAAUUAUCCCCAGAAAUGUCUUCCAUUGCUACUCCACCAUCUUCCCUAAGAUUCUAUUCCUAUUAACUCUAGCCCGUUCCUUCCUCAUGAUGUUUUUUUAGUUUCAUCACUCAGUUGUAAUUGUGUCACAUCCAAAUGCAAACAAUACAUUUAAACUGAAAGAGGGAGCUUUGAGAGAUAAAACAUGGAGAAAGAUUGGAGUAUUCAUUAACUUGAUUUAUGUCAUGUAUGUAUGAGAUAGAGAGAGAGAGAAUAUGGGUGAUGAGAUGUGAAAAUAGAGAAAACUGCAUUAUCGACUGAAGUUGAUGUACUUUCCAACUUGUUUUGGCAAUUCCUGUGUGUUGUGAUCCUUUGCCCAGUGCAUGUACGACUGAGUAAUAUGUAUAUAAUAGUUGAAGUAUCCACACAUGAGAACCAGUGAGAGCGGUGUAUUUGAAUUUACAGAGUACUUUUGAUAUGGUUGCACACAGGUGAGUGAAUAAAAUUAGAGUUGAGAGGUAAGGUGGAAUAUACUACAUGGAUUGAGAAUUGUUUAGUUGACGCAAUACAGAGAGUGGAGCCCUUUUCCAGGCUGAAUGCUGCUCGUUAUGGGGUAUCACAUGAAUCAGUGUUUGGACCACAGUAAUUUAAAAGGCAUACAAACUAUUUGGAUGUGGCCAGCAACAGCAUACAUCUCAUUUUGUAAUGAUUAAAUGAUGUGAGGUUGGGAAGUGUUGUGGUCACAAAAGGGCCUGCAUGUCCUUGAUCAUAGGUCACCAAAAUUAGUACAUGCAGCGCUAUCAGUCAUGUGGGAAGUAAAUGGUAUGUUGUCCUUCAUUGUAAGAUGAUUCAUGUACAUGAAUAAAACCAUAUGUCUGCACAUGUACAGCCUUGAUGAAAGACUAUUUAUGGGCACUGUGCAUAGGCUUGAUCCCUUUUGUAAUGAAAGAACUCCUUGCCACAGACACGGUACAAAUGGUCAUCACCAGUCUAAUCCCUGAGAUGAUGGUACCAUGAGGAGCGAGUGAAGAAAGUGAGUGUUUAAUAUGUUGUGCUGUGAGAGAAUCAGAGAUUACUGCAUUAAAAUUACAAAGUUGGUGAUGAACUCUUUUAUCCACAAAAGAAAUUGAUAGGGUGAGAAAUCCCAUACGUGACCCAUGUAAAUACAUGUGGAUUUUACAUAUAAAAUGACAUAGAGCCCCACAGUGAUUCAGAGAGAAGCACAGGCUCUGAAUGAACUCUCCCCACAUUAAUCUGUGACCUUACACUGAACCCGAUGUUGUUCACAAUCCUGACAGCAGCCCAAAUACCCUCUUUGUGACAUUAGCCAGACCAACCAGAUUCUGAUCUCCAUAGAGAACGGAAGCAUGUAUUUUCAGAGGAUGCCACUUGUGAUUUUGCACAAAACAUUAGUCUUCCCACCACACUACUGUAAAACUGCAUUAAAGUACUGCAUGUGUACCAUGAACAAUGGAGGCAUGUUGACCAGCGUGAAGCAGACUAUCUGUACAGCCUAGCUCCAUUUGCUUGUCAUGUUACCUAAGUCUGUUUACAUGUAAGUGACUGUAGGGUCUCAAUGGCCUUCUCCUUUUCAUAUGUAGGGACGCAAGGGGCUGUACAGCAGGGCCAAAUGCUGAAUUGAUCCACCCUGGGCUCCUGAGGAACAGUUCGAUGUGUUCAUGUGACAUUGCUGUAACUGUAAGAUAUUAUUUUAUUUUGGUUUCUUUUAAGAGAAGGAUUGAACGAGAGGCACAAAGCUGUCUAGUUAAGACCAUUGAGUAAACAGUCUUGAGAGGGUUCGGGUUUUUUUUAAAUGCAGCCUGAAUGAGUGCGACGAGCUCUCACAGAUCAGAAUUUCUGAGUUUUGCUUUUCUGUUGCAUCAGAAGCUAUUGGUGUCUCAAUGGAGUUGGAAGCUUCAGUGAAUGUCUCCUGACUGCAGAAUUUUCUUUGGAUGAUUAUUUUCUCCUCCUGAAUUGGAGAACCGCAUGUGAGAACCUUCUCUGAAUUUUAUUUCUGACCAAAGUGUCUGUUUAUGGGCUGCUACUAUGCUGGAACAGUUAAUUAGUAAUAUUUGCUAUAGCUAUUAUACUAUAAGUUUAUCCACCAGAGCGAGGUUAUUCUAAAUUCCUUUUUUUUGGUUCUACUUUGAC